UACGUAGGGUCCAAGCGUUAUUCGGAAUUACUGGGCGUAAAGCGUUCGUAGGCGGUUUUGUAAGUUGGAUGUGAAAUCCUGUGGCUCAACCACAUGGACUGUGUCCAAAACUACAAGACUAGAGCAUAGUAGAGGCAAGUGGAAUUUGCAGUGUAGGAGUGACAUCCGUAGAUAUUGCAAGGAACACCAAUGGCGAAGGCAGCUUGCUGGGCUAUUGCUGACGCUCAGGAACGAAAGCGUGGGGAGCGAACGGG
rnacentral:rRNA from 1 species